GAGGUAGCAAUAUUUCUUGGGUGGAGUCGCGUAAGGGUGCUUAACACGUGGGCAAUUUGCCGUAAAUUUUAGAAUAACCUGCCGAAAGGUAGGCUAAUACUGAAUAGUGUGCGCAUUCGGCAUCGAAUGCGCGCUAAAGCUGGGGACCGUAAGGCCUGGCGAUUUGCGAUAAGCCCGCGGCCUAUCAGCUAGUUGGUAAGGUAACGGCUUACCAAGGCGAAGACGGGUAGCUGGUCUUAGAGGACGACCAGCCACACUGGAACUGAGAUACGGUCCAGACACCUACGGGUGGCAGCAGUCGAGAAUUUUUCACAAUGAGCGAAAGCUUGAUGGAGCAACGCCGCGUGGGGGAUGAAUGGCUUCGGCCCGUAAACCCCUGUCAUUCGGGAUCAAUACUCGCUGUUUAAUAUGCAGCGAGUUGAUAGUACCGGAAGAGGAAGGGACGGCUAACUCUGUGCCAGCAGCCGCGGUAAUACAGAGGUCCCAAGCGUUGUUCGGAUUUACUGGGCGUAAAGGGAGCGUAGGUGGCUUGUUAAGUCUGGUGUGAAAUCUCUGAGCUUAACUCAGAAACUGCACUAGAUACUAGCUAGCUUGAGUGUUGGAGGGGAGAUUGGAAUUCUCGGUGUAGCAGUGAAAUGCGUAGAUAUCGAGAGGAACACCAGUGGCGAAGGCGAAUCUCUGGACAACAACUGACACUGAUGCUCGAAAGCUAGGGGAUCAAACGGGAUUAGAUACCCCGGUAGUCCUAGCUGUAAACGGUGCACGCUUGCUGUAAGUGGAAUCAACCCCACUUGUGGCGUAGCUAACGCGAUAAGCGUGCCGCCUGGGAAGUACGGUCGCAAGAUUAAAACUCAAAGAAAUUGACGGGGGCCUGCACAAGCGGUGGAGUAUGUGGCUUAAUUCGAUACUACGCGAAGAACCUUACCUGGCCUUGACAUGCAAGUAGUAGAACCAUGAAAGUGGGACGAGGUAGCAAUACCAGCUUGCACAGGUGCUGCAUGGCUGUCGUCAGCUCGUGUCGUGAGAUGUUGGGUUAAGUCCCGCAACGAGCGCAACCCCUGUGUCCUGUUGCUCCCGGUUUUCCGGUGCACUCUGGACAGACUGCCUCGCUUAAACGAGGAGGAAGGUGGGGAUGACGUCAAGUCAGGAUGGCCCUUACGGCCAGGGCUGCACACGUACUACAAUGCCUGAUACAGAAGGAUGCCAAGCGGCAACGCCUAGCCAAUCCCAAAAAUCAGGCCCAGUUCAGAUUGUCGUCUGCAACUCGACGGCAUGAAGCCGGAAUCGCUAGUAAUGGCGCAUCAGCUACGGCGCCGUGAAUACGUUCCCAGGCCUUGUACACACCGCCCGUCACAUCAUGAAAGCCGGUUAAACCCGAAGUCGUUCCUAAUAAAGCGCCGAAGGCUUGGCUGGUGAUUGGGAUGAAGUCGGAACAAGGUA
rnacentral:rRNA from 1 species